CUCCUCCUCCUCCUCCUUCUUCUUCUUCUUCUUCUUCUUCUUCCUUUUGUCGCCUUCUCUUCUCUCCGCUAACUUCUUACGGCCGAGUUUCGUCGGAUGCACCAACGAGUCCGGAACACGCUACUACUCGUCGAAGACAUUUUAAUCUUCAGAUCAUUUUAAAACAACGGAAAAAAUUAAUAAAAAAAAAACAAAACGAAAAGUAGAAAUGACAAUUUCGUUAAAAUGUAAUUAUUUAAUCGGAGAUUUUGUUAAUUAUUGAAAGAAGAUAGAAGAUAGAAGAAUAAUAAGUGCAUCGUUAUAAGCUCUUAGUUUCAGGUUAGGAGCCUGCUAGGACGGGUCUCGUUCUCUCUUCUUGAGGCACCCGGACGAGAGCGGCGGCGGUGGUGGCGGCGGCGGCGGACGACGGGUGUUCGCAGACCGGUCGCGACUAACAGUGAAAUACAACACGACACGCAACGUGGAAGGAAGGAUAGAAAGAAAGAGAGAGAGAAAAAAUAUAAGAGACAGAUUGGUUAACUAACUGAUUAAUGAAAUAAAGGGAAGGGGUAAAAAUAAGAAGUGGAAACAAUCGAGGACUCCAACCCAAGGAUUUACCUUUCAUCUUCUAAGACACCUAGAAGGAUCAUCAAGGAACAGGAUCAAAUCAACCGUUCGAUCAAUCAACGAUCGAGGACCGAUCAUCCUGUUUAUUUUGAUCAACCUCAUUAAUCUAAUCUCAGUUGUUCUCCUCUUUAACGAAGUGUUGUCAGAUGGAACUACGGAUUACGUGACGUAUCGCGGUGUGUUGGUGUUUUUUCCGAUAAAUAAUAUAUCUAAAUAGAAAUUUUGAGUGACCCCCCUCAGAGAGAGAGAGUGUUACUGAUUUUAAUUGGUUCAUCCAAGGUGUUGAUAAUAAUUAAUCGAAGAUUGAUCUUAAGGAUCGAUCAUUCAAGAUUGUUGUUGUCAUCAUCAUCAUCAUCAUCAUCAUCGCAUUUUGUUAUCAUCGUACGUAAUCGUGAAACAAUUAGAUUGUCUCUCUCUCGCACAAAUUAGGAAUUAGAUGUCAGAUGAGAACGUUUGAUCUCUCCUGUCCCGUGUUUUAUCUGAUCUGAUCUCGUGGUGUCAACGAUAUUCGUUUUUCAACGAAAAUUCGUCGUGUGUCAAAGUAAAUAGUUAAACGCGAGUGAGAGUUCACGUAAGAGGGUACAUUCGUGUGAUGCGGUGUCUACGGGAGGAGAGUUGUUCUAAAAGUUACGUGGUUGAAGAGGACAGUGGUCAGUUGAUUUUAAUCAACAUCGAUAUCAAAUACAAUAGGAUAUAUCUAGCAUAUAAUUGCAUCCCUCGGAAUCCCUAACGGCUUCCAUUACGAUCUAGUUUAAACGUGAACAAGGGAUCAUCGACAAUAAUAUUAUUUCUAAUUAUUGUCGAUUUGUGAAAAAUAAUUUUUGGCGCGACCACGGUGGUUGGUAAUGACGAUGAUGAGGACGAGAAUAUUUACGGAAUCGUUACUCUGACGCGAAGCUGAUCUUUUAACAAAAAAAAAAA